AUUGAACGCUGGCGGAAUGCUUUACACAUGCAAGUCGAACGGCAGCACGGACUUCGGUCUGGUGGCGAGUGGCGAACGGGUGAGUAAUGUAUCGGAACGUGCCCAGUCGUGGGGGAUAACGUAGUGAAAAUUACGCUAAUACCGCAUACGAGCUAUGGAUGAAAGCGGGGGAUCGCAAGACCUCGCUCGAUUGGAGCGGCCGAUAUCAGAUUAGGUAAUUGGUGGGGUAAAGGACCACCAAGCCAACGAUCUGUAGCUGGUCUGAGAGGACGACCAGCCACACUGGAACUGAGACACGGUCCAGACUCCUACGGGAGGCAGCAGUGGGGAAUUUUGGACAAUGGGCGAAAGCCUGAUCCAGCCAUUCCGCGUGCAGGAUGAAGGCCCUCGGGUUGUAAACUGCUUUUGUACAGAACGAAAAGGUUUCUACUAAUACUAGGAGCUCAUGACGGUACUGUAAGAAUAAGCACCGGCUAACUACGUGCCAGCAGCCGCAGUAA
rnacentral:rRNA from 1 species